UGCCAGCAGCCGCGGUAAUACGUAGGAUCCAAGCGUUGUCCGGAUUUACUGGGUGUAAAGGGCGUGUAGGUGGAUUUUUAAGUCGAUGGUGAAAUCCUGCAGCUUAACUGCAGAACUGCCGUCGAUACUGGAAAUCUUGAGUUCGGUAGAGGGAGACAGAAUUCAUGGUGUAGCGGUGAAAUGUGUAGAUAUCAUGAAGAAUACCGGUUGCGAAGGCGGUCUCCUGGCCCGAUACUGACACUGAGGCGCGAAAGCGUGGGUAGCAAACAGGAUUAGAUA
rnacentral:rRNA from 1 species